GGGGAAGGUCAUUAAGACCGAAGUACAUGAUUCCAUGCUUCCAAGAAAAGCAUCUAGAGAGAGAAGUAGUGCCCGUACCGCAAACCGACACAGGUAGAUGAGGAGAGAAUCCUAAGGCCGGCGGAAGAAUUGCAGUUAAGGAACUAGGCAAAUUGACCCCGUAAGUUCGCGAGAAGGGGUGCCUGCGAGAGCAGGCCGCAGAGAAUAGGCCCAAGCAACUGUUUAGCAAAAACACAGGUCUCUGCUAAAGCGUAAGCUGAUGUAUAGGGGCUGACGCCUGCCCGGUGCUGGAAGGUUAAGGGGAACACUUAGCGCAAGCGAAGGUGUGAACUUAAGCCCCAGUAAACGGCGGCCGUAACAAUAACGGUCCUAAGGUAGCGAAAUUCCUUGUCAGGUAAGUUCUGACCCGCACGAAUGGCGUAAUGACUUGGGCACUGUCUCAACUGCAAAUCCGGCGAAGUUGUAGUGCGAGUGAAGAUGCUCGCUACCCGCGAUUGGACGGAAAGACCCCGUAGAGCUUUACUGUAGCUUAGCAUUGAAUUCCGGUAUUGUCUGUACAGGAUAGGUGGGAGACUGGGAAACUAGGGCGUCAGCCUUAGUGGAGUCAACCUUGGGAUACCACCCUGACAGUACUGGGGUUCUAACAGGACGCCAUGAAACUGGUGACUGGACAUUGUUAGGUGGGCAGUUUGACUGGGGCGGUCGCCUCCUAAAAAGUAACGGAGGCGCCCAAAGGUUCCCUCAGAACGGUCGGAAAUCGUUCGUAGAGUGCAAAGGCAGAAGGGAGCCUGACUGCGAGACCUACAAGUCGAGCAGGGACGAAAGUCGGGCUUAGUGAUCCGGUGGUACCUCGUGGGAGGGCCAUCGCUCAACGGAUAAAAGCUACCUCGGGGAUAACAGGCUGAUCUCCCCCAAGAGUCCACAUCGACGGGGAGGUUUGGCACCUCGAUGUCGGCUCGUCGCAUCCUGGGGCUGUAGUAGGUCCCAAGGGUUGGGCUGUUCGCCCAUUAAAGCGGCACGCGAGCUGGGUUCAGAACGUCGUGAGACAGUUCGGUCCCUAUCCGUCGCGGGCGUAGGAAAUUUGAGAGGAGCUGUCCUUAGUACGAGAGGACCGGGAUGGACUGACCUCUGGUGCACCAGUUGUUCUGCCAAGAGCAUGGCUGGGUAGCUAAGUCGGGAAGGGAUAAACGCUGAAAGCAUCUAAGCGUGAAGCCCCCCUCAAGAUGAGAUUUCCCAUAGCAUAAGCUAGUAAGACCCCUUGAAGAACACAAGGUUGAUAGGUCAGAGGUGGAAGUGCGGUAACGUAUGUAGCUGACUGAUACUAAUAGGUCGAGGGCUUGACU
rnacentral:rRNA from 1 species